rnacentral:rRNA from 1 species
UUAUUUAUUUUUUUACUUUUGUUGUUAUUAAUAUUUUUUUUUAAUUAAAGUUUUAUUAUUUUUAUUUGUUUUAGUAUUAAGUUUUAAUAAAUUGUUUUUGUUAUAGUUAAUUUUUACUGUGAAGGGUCAAUGUUUUAUUUAUAUGGAAGUAGAUUUUUUGUUGUACCUUUUGUAUCAGGGUAGAUUAAGUUUUUAUUAUUUAUUUAUUUGUCUCGAAUUGAUUUGAUCUAUAUUAUUAUGUUAGUUGUAGUUAUAUAUCCAUUAAUUAUAUUUAUAUAGGUGUGAAAUGUUAUUCGAAAAUCAAUAUUUCUAGUUUUUUAAUAAUUGAAUUUAAUUCAGCCAUUAUUAGUUAAAGGAUAAUUUUUUAUUAUUUUUAUUUAUUUAUGGUAAUUUUAUGGGGGAUAAGCUCUAUUUUUUUUAUUAAAAUUGUUUUGUUUAUUAAAUGUUAUGUAGGCUUUAUAAUAGCUAUUAUUUAUUAAUAUUUUAUAAUUUAUUGUUUUUUGUUAAGAUUUAUUAAAAAAUUUAAUUGUUUAUUAAAAUUAUUUAUUUAAUUAUUUUAUUAUAUUGAAUAAUGAUUUAAUUAGUAUGGGUUUAUUUAUUUAUUUAUUUAUUUGUUAAAUUAUUUUAAGGAAUUAGGCAAAAUUUUUAUUCGCCUGUUUAUCAAAAACAUCUUUUCUUGAUAUUGAUUAUGAGAUUUGACCUGCUCUAUGAUUAAAUUAUUUAAUGGCCGCGGUAUUUUGACCGUGCAAAGGUAGCAUAAUAAUUAGUUUAUUAAUUGUGGACUUGUAUGAAUGGUUGGACGAAAUAUUAACUGUCUCAUUGUGAUUUUAUUUAAAAUUUAAAAUUUGAGUUAAAAUGCUUAAAUUUUUUUAUAGGACGAGAAGACCCUAUAGAUCUUUAUUUAUUUAUUUAUUUAUUUGUUUUGGUUUAUUUAUUUUUUGUAAUUUCUUAUUUUUGGUUGGGGUGACAUGGAGAAAUAUAUAACUCUUUAUUUUUUUAUACAUUUAUUUAUGUUUAGUUGACCUUUUAUUAUUGUUAUAAGAUUUAGAUACCUUAGGGAUAACAGCGUAAUUCUUUUUGAGAGUUCAAAUCGACAAAGGAGAUUGCGACCUCGAUGUUGGAUUAAGAUUAUAGUUAGGUGUAGUUGUUUAACUAUUAGGUCUGUUCGACCUUUAAAUUCUUACAUGAUCUGAGUUCAAACCGGCGUGAGCCAGGUUGGUUUCUAUCCUUAAAUAUUUAAUUUAUGUUAGUACGAAAGGACCACAUAAAUCAAAGAUUUUGUUUAUUUUGAUUGAUUUU